GAUGAACGCUAGCGACAGGCUUAACACAUGCAAGUCGAGGGGUAGCAGGGGGUAGCAAUACUUUGCUGACGACCGGCGCACGGGUGAGUAACACGUAUGCAACUUACCUAUCAGAGGGGGAUAACCCGGCGAAAGUCGGACUAAUACCGCAUAAAACAGGGGUCCCGCAUGGGAAUAUUUGUUAAAGAUUUAUUGCUGAUAGAUAGGCAUGCGUUCCAUUAGGCAGUUGGCGGGGUAACGGCCCACCAAACCGACGAUGGAUAGGGGUUCUGAGAGGAAGGUCCCCCACAUUGGUACUGAGACACGGACCAAACUCCUACGGGAGGCAGCAGUGAGGAAUAUUGGUCAAUGGGCGCGAGCCUGAACCAGCCAAGUCGCGUGAAGGAUGAAGGUUCUAUGAAUUGUAAACUUCUUUUAUUGGGGAAUAAAGUGCAGGACGUGUCCUGUUUUGUAUGUACCCAACGAAUAAGCAUCGGCUAACUCCGUGCCAGCCGCCGCCGUAA
rnacentral:rRNA from 1 species